rnacentral:rRNA from 1 species
CACGUAGGGUGCGAGCGUUGUCCGGAAUUAUUGGGCGUAAAGAGCUCGUAGGCGGUGUGUCGCGUCGGCCGUGAAAACCUGCAGCUUAACUGUGGGCUUGCGGUCGAUACGGGCAUCACUGGAGUUCGGCAGGGGAGACUGGAAUUCCUGGUGUAGCGGUGAAAUGCGCAGAUAUCAGGAGGAACACCGGUGGCGAAGGCGGGUCUCUGGGCCGAUACUGACGCUGGAGGAGCGGAAAGCG